rnacentral:rRNA from 1 species
UGAGCCAAGUUUAGGGUUUCUUAAAAACCCAAGCAGUAUUGAACUGAAGAGUUUGAUCAUGGCUCAGAUUGAACGCUGGCGGCAGGCCUAACACAUGCAAGUCGAGCGGAUGACGGGAGCUUGCUCCUUGAUUCAGCGGC